GACGAACGCUGGCGGCGUGCCUAAUACAUGCAAGUAGAACGCUGAAGAGAGGAGCUUGCUCUUCUUGGAUGAGUUGCGAACGGGUGAGUAACGCGUAGGUAACCUGCCUUGUAGCGGGGGAUAACUAUUGGAAACGAUAGCUAAUACCGCAUAACAACGGAUGACACAUGUCAUUUAUUUGAAAGGGGCAAUUGCUCCACUACAAGAUGGACCUGCGUUGUAUUAGCUAGUAGGUGAGGUAAUGGCUCACCUAGGCGACGAUACAUAGCCGACCUGAGAGGGUGAUCGGCCACACUGGGACUGAGACACGGCCCAGACUCCUACGGGAGGCAGCAGUAGGGAAUCUUCGGCAAUGGGGGCAACCCUGACCGAGCAACGCCGCGGGAGUGAAGAAGGGUUUCGGAUCGUAAAGCUCUGUUGUAAGUCAAGAACGGGUGUGAGAGUGGAAAGUUCACACUGUGACGGUAGCUUACCAGAAAGGGACGGCUAACUACGUG
rnacentral:rRNA from 1 species